ensembl:lncRNA
UAAGGAAUGUAAGCAUCAAUCUCCGUGGGACAAAAGUACUUUGCAACAUUGCAUUUGGAAAUCCCACAAAGAUUAGCCGAGGUUCACAGGAGACGACGCAAAGUGUCCAGGAAUCUGGGUGUUUCGUAAGUCUCCGCCGUCGUUCAGAAACAAAAUAGCAAACAGACAAUUGGAGCAAUGUGAGCGGAUGAUAAAUCACUGCCUGAUGAAAAGAAAACAUAACCAGGGAGGAAAAAUUAAAAACAGAAACCAGAGCAUAAGAUAGAAAAAGAAAAAUCAAUUUCACAUUAUUCACGUGCACUCAAUAAAAACUGGCAAAGCAAUUGAUUUAACUGCAGUGUUUUAAGACACUACGUUCUGAGCUGCUGUGACCCAAUUUCUUGACUCAAUUAGAGUUAAGCUAACGUUAAAACUGUUUAAAUCCACAGCUGUAUCCAUUGCACUUAUCAAAGGUCCAUUGUGCAAAGGAGGGCUAAACUGAGCAAUGUAAUGCCAUUAACUGCUUAUUCGCUAGACUUAUUCCAACUGCGAUGAAAACAAAGCCGGUGCUCACCAAAGCCUGAGCACUUUUUGACAUAGUCAAUCAGUUCUUUUAUUCACGUUAAUAACAUGGGAGACAUUAAGAAAAGAGACAGAAGGUUAUAUCAAGACAUUUAUGUGGAUGAAAGUAAAAGAAAAAAAAGAAAACAAGCUCAAGAAGAAUUCAAUUGUCUAUAUCAGAAAUGUGUUUUCACCCUAAACCAUUCAGUGCUUAACAACAGUAAAUGAUUACAUACAUACAGGAACCCAAAAUGUCAUCACUGAACCGGUCUCUUUUUUUCAGUGAGGACAAAGUAAAAAAAAAGUAUUUUAUGUUGUUUGGCAACAGGGAAAAGUAAAAGGCAAAAGGAUCUCUGACACCUGAAUGAGCUGCCAACACAAAGUGCAGCAUUUGUAGCUUAAGCAGCAAGAUGCAGUUGGAUUUAUCCAAGUCCCCUCAUGGACAAAAUGUCUUCCACUAGCCUUGCAUUGGUUUGUCGCUACCUGUAGCAGUAGAAACGAUCUGGACGACACCAGUUGAUACUCGACCGAUCUACACGACUUUGGCUCGUACGAGACAUCGACUCUUUUACUUGAGCGGUUUUUUUUAAGCUCUGUACAGCAACGUAGUUUUCGAUCUUCAGUUAUUCUCAAAAUAACCAAUUCUGUAAAAUAAAAGCUCUGCAAGCAUCCGGCCUCCUGCAAACGACAGGCACACAAGCCCACAUGGACGGGCCGGUGCUCCUGCACUGUAAAUACCUGACGCACCAUAUAGUAUAUCGAGGCUUCACUUGCCGUCUAAUGUGCAUACUCUUGCUAUGAACUUUUUGCUUAUAUAUUACAUUUGCAUGAUCCCAUGCUCCACCUCAGUGUUCGGGAAUUUGUAGACUUCCUUUCACUCCUUUCACUUUAUUUGUUUGUUUCAGUAUUUUUUUUUUGGGAGAAUUCAAAGUUCAUUCGGGAUCCAGUUAGUCAAAUUCCUUCUGAGAUUCCUCCUGUUGAGCCACGCCUCCCUUACUGUGGUCACUAGAGUGCAGCAAUCAAAGAGACUUAAUCAAAGCUGUGAUAGAAUCGGGGGGGUUACUAUAUUUUGUAUUGAGGAUCCAAAGCUGUUUGUAGCCAUUUAGGGUUUUAGAAGAAAUAACAGAGUGGUCCACUAGUUUCGCCUCAAAUCUUCUAAGAAAAGGUUUCUCUCGUUUUUGCAAUGCAGUGAAUUGACCAAACCAUUGUUUUUUGCCACAAAUGUAUACUUAAAUUAUUUCCCAGACCAAACUAUUGUGUAUUAUAUAUUUCUCUACAGUAUAAAAUCCUAUCCAAGUGAACAUUAGUUGGAAUUCAUUUGCUUGAUUAUGCUGUUUACUUUUCUACAGUUGACACUGCAUCACUUCAGAACAAUAAUGCAACUUGGAAAAAGUAGUGCCGACUUGCUGUUUGUUGGAAUUUACGGGAACCUGCAACAGUUGAUAAAAUAAUCUAAAUUUGAACAAUUUUGAGAAAUUAAAACAUUUAGGAUCUAGGAAACAAGGAACCACUGACAGGGUCCCACAGUAGCUUAUCCCCAUUCUGAGACGCAGUGUUUUAGGGAGCAUAAGUGAUGUGGGAAUGAUCACAAAUUGUCUUUGUUGCACCUAUAAACGCACCAAACAUUGAUAGAAAACAGCAAACUACCGGGUCUACAACAAAAAUGGUUUUAUAUCCAAGCCAAUGCGAGUGGUUCAUUUAAAAAUGACCAUGAUAAGAGGGGGAUUGCUGCACACUGGAUUAACUUGCAAACCAAAGAAACUUUUUAAACUCCGUGGAUUUCUUUUUUUUUUGUGAUUUGCACAAAAUGAGCCCUAAAAGCAGCUUACAUCUUAUUGUUGGUCGGUACAAUCCAAAACCUGGGCAAUACAUCUGGAUAUGCAUACAUUUUUUAACAGUUAUCAUAUCAGACAGGGCACCUUAAAGCAAAAUCAUUUUAAUUUUUUCAUUCAUAAUAGACCAGGACAAUCCAUCCUGCCUGUUGUUAUUUCACUGCCGUACCCACAGGCAGCAGAAGCACCUCAGUGCGGCUGACACACUGUUCUGACUAAAGCUCUUGUAGUUUAUUUUGAUCGUUUAAUCCAAAAACAUUCCCUUUUUUAAUUGUUUGUUGUUUCAAACAUUUUAAAACGGGGCUAUGCUCUUGUGCCAUUUUCACAUGUAUGUAAGUAUGUCUACAUUGAAUGCUACAUUCAUCAGCUUUCCUUUUUUUGUCGCAAGGUAAAACCAAAACAACCUUUUUCCUUUUUUCUCCCUCCUUGAAAGCAAGAAUAACGAGACUGGUAUGUUUUUACUUUCAAUGGCAGGCGCUUCGCAGGUUCAAUUUGUUUCUUCUCUCCAGGAUCUUGCACUUAACACAUGUAGCAAUACCUACAGGAUGGGGAAUUGUGUGAUUCACCAGUAUUUGUUCAAGCGGAAUAUGACAUUUUAUUUCUAGAUAUUGUUUGACUUUGUAUAAAAAAACAUAUACUGUACAGAUGCAAAAGUAUAUUAUAACAAAAAACUUUUAGAAAAAUAUUUAUUUUUACUGUUUUUUGUAAUUUAGACACAAUACUGUAGCUCCUCUAUUGCCAGACUUACUGGAAGUGCCUCUCGAUAAUGUAUUACAAAGUAACUAUACAAAAUUAUUAUUAGAACCUGUCACUAGCAGAGCAGUGUUGAUGUUGUAAUGUGAAUAUUGUUGAAUAAUACGAUUUAUAAAUGCUGCGCAUGUGUUUGUCUGGUUCUUUACUCAUUUCUCAAAGUAUCAGUUGG